rnacentral:rRNA from 1 species
GACGAACGCUGGCGGCGUGCCUAAUACAUGCAAGUUGAGCGCUGACGGUUGGUACUUGUACCCACUGGAUGAGCAGCGAACGGGUGAGUAACGCGUGGGGAAUCUGCCUUUGAGCGGGGGACAACAUUUGGAAACGAAUGCUAAUACCGCAUAAAAACUUUAAACACAAGUUUUAAGUUUUAAAGAUGCAAUUGCAUCACUCAUAGAUGAUCCCGCGUUGUAUUAGCUAGUUGGUGAGGUAAAGGCUCACCAAGGCGAUGAUGCAUAGCCGACCUGAGAGGGUGAUCGGCCACAUUGGGACUGAGACACGGCCCAAACUCCUACGGGAGGCAGCAGUAGGGAAUCUUCGGCAAAGGACGAAAGUCUGACCGAGCAACGCCGCGUGAGUGGAGAAGGUUUUCGGAUCGUAAAACUCUGUUGGUAGAGAAGAACGUUGGUGAGAGUGGAAAGCUCAUCAAGUGACGGUAACUACACAGAAAGGGACGGCUAACUACGUG